rnacentral:rRNA from 1 species
AGUUUGAUCCUGGCUCAGAAUCAACGCUGGCGGCAUGCCUAACACAUGCAAGUCGAACGAGAAAGUCCUUCGGGAUGAGUACAGUGGCGUACGGGUGAGUAACGCGUGGGUUAUCUACCUCUGGGUGGGGAAUAACUCGGGGAAACUCGAGCUAAUACCGCAUAAUACGUUUACGUUAAAGCAGCAAUGCGCCUGGAGAUGAGCCUGCGUCCGAUUAGCUAGUUGGCGGGGUAAUGGCCCACCAAGGCGACGAUCGGUAGCCGGCCUGAGAGGGCGGUCGGCCACACUGGCACUGAAAUACGGGCCAGACUCCUACGGGAGGCAGCAGUGAGGAAUUUUGGGCAAUGGGCGAAAGCUGGACCCAGCAAUGCCGCGUGAACGAUGAAGUCCUUCGGGAUGUAAAGUUCGUAAGCAGGAGAAGAACACCCUGACGGUAUCCUGUGUAAGCCCCGGCUAACUACGUGCCAGCAGCCGCGGUAAUACGUAGGGGGCAGGCGUUGUUCGGAUUUACUGGGCGUAAAGGGCGCGUAGGCGGCGCGUAAAGUCGGACAUGAAAUCAUUUGGGCUUAACCCGAUGGCUGUGCCCGAUACUUGCGUGCUUAGAGUGCGGGAGAGGCAAUCGGAAUUUUCGGUGUAGCGGUGAAAUCGUAGAUAUCGAGAGGACCUCUGUGACGAAGUGGGUUCUUGACCACACUGCGGUGAGCG